UACGAGGACCCCAAGCGUUAUCCGGAAUUACUGGGCGUAAAGCGUGAGCAUCCGGUUUUGCUAGUCUCAUGUUAAAUCUCAUUGCUCAACGAUGAGACCGCGUGGGAAACGGCAAGACUAGAGUGGGUAAGAGGUAAGCGGAACGUGCAGUGUAGGGGUGAAAUCCAUUGAUAUUGCACGGAACACCAAAAGCGAAAGCAGCUUACUAGUGCUCUACUGACGGUCAAUCACUAAAGCGUGGGGAUCAAAAAGG
rnacentral:rRNA from 1 species